GGAUUCGUAGCUCAGUUGGAUAGAGCAACCCCCUUCUAAGGGGUAGGUCGUAGGUUCGACUCCUACCGAAUCCGCCA
rnacentral:tRNA from 2 species